rnacentral:rRNA from 1 species
CGCGCAGGCGGCUUUGUAAGUCCGACGUGAAAGCUCCUGGCUUAACUAGGAGAGGCCGUUGGAAACUGCAGAGCUUGAGGUUGGGAGAGGAAAGUGGAAUUCCCGGUGUAGUGGUGGAAUGCGUAGAUAUCGGGAGGAACUCCAGUGGCGAAGGCGACUUUCUGGCCUACACCUGACGCUGAGGCGCGAAAGCGUGGGGAGCGAACA